rnacentral:misc_RNA from 1 species
CUCUAGGAGCAACAACGCUACCAACAACACGGACUGGCCAACGUUAUCGGUGUUGUUACCUAAUUUCGUGGCGUACGCCGCGUUAUACCUGCGUCAGACUACUUCCUUCGGUAUAAAUUUUCCUUUUUUAAAGGGAAUAUCGUGGACAAAAGGAAUUUAACAAAAAACAGAAAGAAGAUAAAAAGACUCCCGCCUACAGUGUUGUCAGCUAAAUGUAGUCUGGUUAUGUUGCCAAGAUAUGGAAAAACGCGAAAACAAACAUUAUGCAUUUUUUGUGCUAUCGUGAACACCAGAAAAAUAUAAUGCGAAUAUCUAUAUACAGUAAAUAUUUGGUGCAACAUUUAUUUCAGUGAGAUACUUCGUUCUACGAGGGAUUUCCGGUUCCAAGCGUUCCCUUAUGGCGCGGCUACGAGGGCACGCGCGCGCUUGUUUUAGUGACACGCGUAAGGAGGCGGCAGCAAUAAGCAGCUGAAGAGACUGCUUUGUUUGUUGAACCUGAGAAAAAUCGCACGAACGAGCGUCCUUAACCCCUUAACGCGUAAAACGUGGGCACAGCUAUAACCGUCCAAAGUGCAUAAGUUUGUGUGAGACACAGACGCAACCAUUUUUAACACAUUUUCUGUAGC